rnacentral:rRNA from 1 species
GUACACUCCUGCGGGAGGCAGCAGUGGGGAAUUUUGGACAAUGGGCGAAAGCCUGAUCCAGCAAUGCCGCGUGAGUGAAGAAGGCCUUCGGGUUGUAAAGCUCUUUUGUCAGGGAAGAAACGGUGAAAGCUAAUAUCUUUUGCUAAUGACGGUACCUGAAGAAUAAGCACCGGCUAACUACGUGCCAGCAGCCGCGGUAAUACGUAGGGUGCAAGCGUUAAUCGGAAUUACUGGGCGUAAAGCGUGCGCAGGCGGUUUUGUAAGUCUGAUGUGAAAUCCCCGGGCUCAACCUGGGAAUUGCAUUGGAGACUGCAAGGCUAGAAUCUGGCAGAGGGGGGUAGAAUUCCACGUGUAGCAGUGAAAUGCGUAGAUAUGUGGAGGAACACCGAUGGCGAAGGCAGCCCCCUGGGUCAAGAUUGACGCUCAUGCACGAAAGCGUGGGGAGCAAACAGGAUUAGAAACCCGGGUAGUCCCAUGAU